CGAGUAGGCGGUGGAGCAAGUCUGAGGUGGAAUCCUAUGGCUUAACCAUAGAACUGCCUUAGAAACUGUUUCACUUGAGUCAGUGAGGGGGAGGGCGGAAUUCCUGGUGUAGCGGUGAAAUGCGUAGAUAUCAGGAGGAAGGCCUGUGGCGAAGGCGGCCCUCUGGCACUGCACUGACGCUGAGGCGCGAAAGCGUGGGGAGCAAACAGGAUUAGAUACCCUGGUAGUCCACGCCCUAAACGGUGGGCAUUAGGUGUAGGGCUCGUAAGGGUUCUGUGCCGAAGGGAAACCAUUAAAUGCCCCGCCUGGGGAGUACGGCCGCAAGGUUGAA
rnacentral:rRNA from 1 species